rnacentral:lncRNA from 1 species
GCUGCCAGUAGGGGGUGCUAGACUGAAACUGCAAUAUUGGAGAAGAAAGCAAUGCCUUCCUGUGUCACCUGAGCAACGUUUGUUCUUUGAGGAAGCCUCAUUUAGUUCUGGUAGCAGCAGGUGGUUCUGGUUUGCAGUGUAUUCAGCACUCACAGAACAAGCAUUAUCACAUUCCCUUAGAGACACCAGACCAGCAUCAGCUGCCCGUGUCCUUCCAAGAUGCCUGGGUCCAGCUUGUGGGAGGGACUGUGAAUCCUGAGGACAGCACCAGCUGAGCUUCGGAUCCUUCUCAAUGGUGCCUUUUCAGUUCUGCAGGGCCCUCCUCUCCUCUGAGAAUAUGGGUUCUCUGACAUCCAGACUGAAGUGCAGUGGCAUGAACUCAGCUCACUGCAGCCUUGACCUCCUGGGCUCAAGCAAUCCUUCUACCUCAGCCUCCUGAGUAGCUGGGACUACAGGUGAGUGCCAUCACACCCGGGUAAUUAAAAAAAAUUUUUUUGUAGAGAUGGGACCUUGCUAUAUUGCCCAAGCUGGUCUCAAGCUCCUGGGCUCAAGUGAUCCUCCCACCUUGGUCUUGCAAAGUCCUGGGAUUACAGGUGUGAGCCACUGUGCCAGGCCCAAGAAUGUGAAUUUCUAGCAAAUUCUCAAGUGAUACUGAUGCUACUAGCCCAGAGGCCCCACUUUGAGAAUCAUUGCACUGGACAAAGCAGUCCACUCCUAGAGAAAUAUUUGUCCUGAAACCACCAUAAGACUCCUUGGAAAUAGUAGCCCCAAGUACACCCAAUUGACUAAUGAGUUAAUGAUGUUUUGAAAAUAAAGUAGGGUGAUGUCCAAGGUGCUACCAAUUGCCAAUGUAGUAAGAAAAAAAAUGAAGAGCAUGUGUGAUCAUUCAUAAAGUUUCCUG